ACUCCUACGGGAGGCAGCAGUGGGGAAUAUUGGACAAUGGGCGCAAGCCUGAUCCAGCCAUGCCGCGUGAGUGAUGAAGGCCCUAGGGUUGUAAAGCUCUUUCACCGGUGAAGAUAAUGACGGUAACCGGAGAAGAAGCCCCGGCUAACUUCGUGCCAGCAGCCGCGGUAAUACGAAGGGGGCUAGCGUUGUUCGGAUUUACUGGGCGUAAAGCGCACGUAGGCGGACUAUUAAGUCAGGGGUGAAAUCCCGGGGCUCAACCCCGGAACUGCCUUUGAUACUGGUAGUCUUGAGUUCGAGAGAGGUGAGUGGAAUUCCGAGUGUAGAGGUGAAAUUCGUAGAUAUUCGGAGGAACACCAGUGGCGAAGGCGGCUCACUGGCUCGAUACUGACGCUGAGGUGCGAAAGCGUGGGGAGCAAACAGGAUUAGAUACCCGUGUAGUCCCAUGA
rnacentral:rRNA from 1 species